GAUGAACGCUGGCGGCGUGCCUAAUACAUGCAAGUCGAGCGAACAGACGAGGAGCUUGCUCCUUUGACUUCAGCGGCGGACGGGUGAGUAACACGUGGUUAACCUACCUAUAAGACUGGGAUAACUUCGGGAAACCGGAGCUAAUACCGGAUAAUAUUUCGAACCGCAUGGUUCGAUAGUGAAAGAUGGCUCUGCUAUCACUUAUAGAUGUACCUGCGCCGUAUUAGCUAGUUGGUAAGGUAACGGCUUACCAAGGCAACGAUACGUAGCCGACCUGAGAGGGUGAUCGGCCACACUGGAACUGAGACACGGUCCAGACUCCUACGGGAGGCAGCAGUAGGGAAUCUUCCGCAAUGGGCGAAAGCCUGACGGAGCAACGCCGCGUGAGUGAUGAAGGUCUUCGGAUCGUAAAACUCUGUUAUUAGGGAAGAACAAACGUGUAAGUAACUGUGCACGUCUUGACGGUACCUAAUCAGAAAGCCACGGCUAACUACGUG
rnacentral:rRNA from 1 species